AUUGAACGCUGGCGGCAGGCCUAACACAUGCAAGUCGAGCGGAUGAAGGGAGCUUGCUCCUGGAUUCAGCGGCGGACGGGUGAGUAAUGCCUAGGAAUCUGCCUGGUAGUGGGGGAUAACGUCCGGAAACGGGCGCUAAUACCGCAUACGUCCUGAGGGAGAAAGUGGGGGGUCUUCGGACCUCACGCUAUCAGAUGAGCCUAGGUCGGAUUAGCUAGUUGGUGGGGUAAAGGCCUACCAAGGCGACGAUCCGUAACUGGUCUGAGAGGACGAUCAGUCACACUGGAACUGAGACACGGUCCAGACUCCUACGGGAGGCAGCAGUGGGGAAUAUUGGACAAUGGGCGAAAGCCUGAUCCAGCCAUGCCGCGUGUGUGAAGAAGGUCUUCGGAUUGUAAAGCACUUUAAGUUGGGAGGAAGGGCAGUAAGUUAAUACCUUGCUGUUUUGACGGUACCAACAGAAUAAGCACCGGCUAACUUCGUG
rnacentral:rRNA from 1 species